CCUCUCUCACAAGGAGAACCGAGUCGGGCCCAUGCUCACCAAGACCAGCAGAACUCUGUUCCUGCACCUUGUGCUGGCCAGCUGAGCAUGUGCAGCACUACUGAAUGGAUGACUUCAGAAACUGCUUGACCCCAUGCUUCACCUGACAGCUGAGCUUCCCUACAUGGUCCCAAGUUUCAGAGGCACUCAAGUGGGGUGCAAAAGGAAAAGUGAUGUAGAAUGAAAACUGGAAGAAUUUCCAAGGAAAGAAAGAGUCACAGAGCCUGCAGAUGAAGACAUACCUACGUGUUAAUGAGAGACAUCUGACCAGCAGUGAUCUUGUUAGAGAGCGGUGUAGACGAGCAGUACUCCUCAAAUGCUCAAAUGUCAGGAGAGUUUGGAUUCAUCACCAAUCCCUCUGCCCGGAGACCCAGAUCAGAAGUGAUUUCAUUCAUGAAGCCUCUCUGCCAGAGCUCGUUAGUGAAGUAAGUGUUCUCUUUUCUCGUAAUAACCUGUUGCAGACAUCCCCUGUGCUCUUCAGCUUCUCCUAUUCUGUUCAUAUUCCCUUUGAGCUAAGUGCAGGUCCCUAAAAAGCCAGCCUGUUUUGUUACAUUUGCAAGGUAGGAGGCUUCAGACCUGCAGGAUGGACGCUGAGCACAAAUGUAACAGCUAAAUGGCAAGCUAGGGUGGCAGGGACAGGAGCAGGAGAUUGUACCUGCUAGUUACCAUCGAGUCUCAGGAGAGCUUUGCCAAUAAAUUCCAUUAAAAUGAGAGUUUCAGCUUUUAAAACUACAAUUCAGUGGCUUGUUACCUUAAAUAAGCUAGCAAUGACCGUAUGUUAGUCUCUGACAGGGCUACAUCUGGGUGAAAACCAUGCUGAAUUAUUUAUUUUGUCAUUAAUGUCACACAAACUGCAGUAAGGAGAAUUAUAUGGGCUGCAGAAGUGAACAGCGCUAAGCCUGAUUCAAACAAAUGGAAUUGUUAUUCUUCAACACGAGCCAUGGGUUGCAGCCUCCUAAUGCAUCUAUGAGAGGAGAAGCGAAUGGUAAAUCAAUGGAAAGGUUCACACCUGACUGACAACCUUUAAAUAAUGCAAAGGGUCCCUCAGCACAUGGCAGGGUUAUAUAAUGCAUUAGCAUUUGAAGUCAGGGAGACUUGCAGGGAAGUAUUUUGGAAGUUUUGCCUUUGUAGCUGUAGAGCUCAAAGAGCCAGAAUAACAUACCUGGAAAGAGGGAUAGAAAACUAAAACUGUGCCUGGGGAUUGAGAAUGUAAGGAUAUUUUAAUCAGUCUGAGUGAAAUUCUGUUGAAAAUCAUCAGCCUUUGGUAAGCCUGAAAGUGUCUUGUGCUGCAUGGUGCAGAGGAUACAAGGGCAUGGUUCUUUAGUUAUGCUUGGGGCAAGGAAUGGAUCCAAUGAGGUGGAACCGGGGCCAGCCUGGGAGUGGGGGUUUGGUCCUCUGGGACAUCACUGUAAACCAUUUGAUGUGUUAUUCAGUUGUGGAUUCUCAGAACAUUUGUAGGGAGGGUCAAGCAGCUUUUUGAGUUUGCGCAUGAUUUGUCUCUUUUUCCCCUCAUCUGAGAGCCAGAUAGCAUGGCUUAUGCAAUCUCAAAUUCCCCUUUGGAGGGGAAAAGCAGCAAGCAGCAGAAGAGAAAAUCAUACUUGGUGCAUCAAACUCCUGCCUUAUGCACUGAGACCCCCAGUGACAGCACAUAUUGGAUGCUACAGGUUAGCUGAUAGAGAGGGCCCAGCAUGGGCAGAUGUCUGUAGAGACAGAGUCACAGGGACAUGAGCUUUGAAUGCUUUCUGUUGUUUUCUGUGUUCUUAAUAAUCAUGAUUUUAGCAAGAAGCCCAUUGGUCCUUGCACUGUUCAACCAGGCUUUGGAUAAUCUGGAUGGACGUCUCUUAGCUGUUGAAAUAAAAUUUAGAAUACCCUGGAUGUUUACAGCUGUGUUCCCCCCAUAAAAUGAUUGCAAACACAAGCAGAAGGGUGUCAUAUAGAAACGUAUGGCUACAGAUUAUAGUCACGGUCACCCCUAGCUCUGCAUGUCUGUGUGUUGCUUUGCAUUCACUGCAGAUCUAUGCACACUGUCUUGCCCGCAGGCACCUUCUCCCUUUUCUGAAUUACGACAUGUCUAAGUUUUGCAUUUUGGAUCUGUUUGCCAUCUAUGAUAGUGAGGAGUCAUAUAUUCUACAGUGACAAACAGCAGACGGCGGAAAGAUAUUUUAAAAGUUUUCAUUUGGCUUCAAUGAGGAUAUAUCUGCCAGUUCAUGGAGGUCAGGACAGUUUGUUCUUACAGAUUGGUCUGGAAUAAGAUGUGUAUUGUAAUGGUUAGGCACAGCCUCUGACAGGACAAAUCAGUAGUGACUUCUGACAUCCAGAAACAGGGUAAUGAAGUUAAUUGCAGGUAUUUUCUCAACAGUAGAAAAGCUUUAAUUUAAAAGUAUACUGGAGGAAAUUCUGCUUGGUUUUGAUCAGGAAUACUACAAAACAAUCUUCUAAUCUGAUAACAUCAUUUGUUUUAGCCAGCUUAGACUCUUCUCUGACUUUCUGGAAGGGCUAUGCAAAGUCUCUCAUCUUUUCCCAGGCUUUCUUCUCUUUCAUCUACAAUCCACCAGUCUCUUCACUUGAUUCCAUUCUCCCAGCUGCACACUCUUAAGUUUACGUUUGAUUUUGGUGCCUCCAGGCUGUGGGAUAGAUGGUAAGCACAGCACCAGCAGUGGAGAGCUGAGUCUCUUGACCUUUUCAGUAGCCCUCUGUUUGAUGGGAUGAAGCAGCAGAUGACAGAAGCAGGACUACCUGGAUGAAAAUUGAGAGCAGCUCUGUUUAUUCUAACUAUGAAUUCUAUGUGGCAGCUUAAAAUUUCUCUCCACUAGCAGCUGCCUUUCACUAGAUUUGAUUGUUGUUUGAUUGGUUGAAUCUGACUGUUAUUUGUUUUCCUCCUAAUUUCUAUGUCACUGAGUGUACACAUCACACACCACUAACAGAUAUUUUGAUGUUUACUCUUUCUGUCCCCCCAAAGUCACAGAUAGAAGCAGCAUUGACGGAGGGGUAGGAGUGGCCCAUAGAAACCUGUUGGAAAUGCUCUAGAAGGUGAGGACUUCAGAAAUUUAACAUACAGUGUGAACAGCAGGCAUUUAGUAAUUUUUGCUGGGGAACAAGGCUACUUUUGAUUUAAUUCUGUCCCAUGAACCUCAGACAGAGUUACUGCUUCAGUUCCUCAGCUCAAGUAAGGCUUGUAGUAGAGAACUGACUCAAUAGUCUUAUGCGUGCCAUGCUGUUAUGAGCCACCUGUAUGGAAUGAACCUGAGGAUAUGGCUGCAUUACAGUAGGUAAAGCUACUGUAGGUUUUGAUCUUGCUCUAGUGCUGUUACUUUCUGGAGGAAUUAUUCAAUAUUCAUUCAGCGAUUCAUUUUCCUUUCCAAUAGAAAAUCCUGUUUGCCAUAGCAAUACCAGCAGGGACUCUGCUUCUCAAGUACAAAGCUCUCUCCUGCAGAUGCACAUUAGGAUGUAAGUUGAACUUCAGAAAUGUGUUUUAUGGCAGGAAGCUUCUAUGGUAUAAUAAGAUGACAAAUAAGGUAUGCUAUGAGCUCAUUAACUGAGACUCU